CUCCAGUUGGAUGCAUGUCCUUCUGGGAAAGAUUCAUCGGUACGGGAUGGGGUCGCGUCCUAUCAGCUUGAUGGCGGGGUAACGGCCCACCAUGGCUUCGACGGGUAGCCGGCCUGAGAGGGCGACCGGCCACAUUGGGACUGAGAUACGGCCCAGACUCCUACGGGAGGCAGCAGUGGGGAAUAUUGCACAAUGGGCGCAAGCCUGAUGCAGCGACGCCGCGUGCGGGAUGACGGCCUUCGGGUUGUAAACCGCUUUUGACUGGGAGCAAGCCCUUCGGGGUGAGUGUACCUUUCGAAUAAGCACCGGCUAACUACGUGCCAGCAGCCGCGGUAAUACGUAGGGUGCAAGCGUUAUCCGGAAUUAUUGGGCGUAAAGGGCUCGUAGGCGGUUCGUCGCGUCCGGUGUGAAAGUCCAUCGCUUAACGGUGGAUCCGCGCCGGGUACGGGCGGG
rnacentral:rRNA from 1 species